AGGUGAUGCCGCCGUGCUCGUUGCUGCUUCCUGGUAAGGAAAGGCCUCCUCCGCUCCUGCUGCAGCGUGGUGGUGUGUCGGACACGAUUCCCUGUGUCGGGUGAGGCCUAGGGCUGCCGGCGAGGUGGAGGAUGGCCUAGAGUCUGGAGCUGCAGAAGAGGCAGGGAGGAGAGGAGGGGAAAGAAGCAUCUGAACGGCUAAAUUGUGCCAGCAGCGCUGAGAGCGAGAGUCGCGAGACCGUGCUGAGGACGUGGUUGUCUGUCCUUCCCCCGGGGAUGCCGUUGACUGCGGCCGUCUCAGGCUUGCGUGGCUUCUCUCUGCCCGGUGUUGCCAUCCUCGCAGCGCGGGGGCGAAAAGGGACACACAGAGCCCUUCCCGGCUGUGGACAGGAGCUGCCUCGGCUGAAGCUGGAGACGCCAACGAAAGGUGGAGGACGGCCUAGAGUCUGGAGCUGCAGAAGAGGCAGGGCGGAGAGGAGGGGAAAGAAGCAUCUGAACGGCUAAAUUGUGCCAGCAGCGCUGAGAGCGAGAGUCGCGAUGUCUUCUCAGUGUCUCGUGAUGCUCAAGAGAUGCCCCCCGGCCCGGGUUUGCCUGCCGGUCGUUAAGCGUGGUGAAGGUAAGGGGCCAUCCCUCUGCCUGGGGGCUCCCGGCUCUGUCUCCAGCGGGUGCCCCGCAGGUGCGGCCGCGAGGGCUGCCUGGUGGGGAGAGUCGGGGCCCCCAGGGACCGGGGCUGUUUGUCGCCCCGGGGAGCCCAUCCCAGAGGGGGAGCAUGGCCGAGCAGAGCCCGAGAGAGACGUGACACCGUCCUCUGGCACGCUCCUGCUUUGCCGUGGGGCGGCCGCCAGCCUGCGGACAGGGGCUGGGGGGGCUGCCCCACC